CCAGAGUGGUAAUGAUGACCUGGUUGGACUAGAGUCUCUGAGAACUUCUCUGAGGAUCUUUGAAACCACCUGAUCCACUCUUA
ensembl:snoRNA